rnacentral:rRNA from 1 species
UACGGAGGAUCCAAGCGUUGUUCGGAUUUACUGGGCGUAAAGGGCGCGUAGGCGGCGUGGUAAGUCAGCUGUGAAAUCUCCGAGCUUAACUCGGAACGGUCAGCUGAUACUGCUGUGCUAGAGUGCAGAAAGGGCAAUCGGAAUUCUUGGUGUAGCGGUGAAAUGCGUAGGUAUCAAGAGGAACACCUGAGGCGAAGGCGGGUUGCUAGGCUGACACUGACGCUGACAGCGCGAAAGCUAGGGUAGCAAACGGG